rnacentral:rRNA from 1 species
AGAGUUUGAUCCUGGCUCAGAACGAGCGUUGGCGGCGCGCCUAACACAUGCAAGUCGCACGAGAAAGGGAGCAAUCCCCGGUAAAGUGGCGCACGGGUGAGUAACACGUGGAUAAUCUUCCCUUGAGCGGGGGAUAACCUUCCGAAAGGAGGGCUAAUACCGCGUAAGACCACGACCAGUCCGCUGGUUGAGGUAAAAGCUGGCCUCUACAUGUAAGCUAGCACUUGAGGAUGAGUCCGCGGCCCAUCAGCUAGUUGGUGGUGUAAAGGACCACCAAGGCUAAGACGGGUAGCUGGUCUGAGAGGAUGAUCAGCCACACUGGAACUGAGACACGGUCCAGACUCCUACGGGAGGCAGCAGUGGGGAAUCUUGCGCAAUGGGCGAAAGCCUGACGCAGCGACGCCGCGUGGGUGAUGAAGGCCUUCGGGUUGUAAAGCCCUGUGGGGAGAGACGAAUAAGGUGCAGCUAAUACCUGUAUUGAUGACGGUAUCUCCUUAGCAAGCGCCGGCUAACUCUGUGCCAGCAGCCGCGGUAAGACAGAGGGUGCAAACGUUGUUCGGAAUUACUGGGCGUAAAGCGCGUGUAGGCGGUGAGGUUAGUCGGAUGUGAAAGCCCCGGGCUCAACCUGGGAAGUGCACUCGAUACUGCCUCGCUAGAGUCCCGGAGAGGAUGGUGGGACUCUCGGUGUAGAGGUGAAAUUCGUAGAGAUCGACGAAGAACACCUGUGGCGAAGGCGGCCAUCUGGACGGUGACUGACGCUGAGACGCGAAAGCGUGGGUAGCAAACAGGAUUAGAUACCCUGGUAGUCCACGCUGUAAACGAUGGGUGCUAGGUGUCGCGGGUAUUGACCCCUGCGGUGCCGCAGCUAACGCAUUAAGCACCCCGCCUGGGGAGUACGGCCGCAAGGCUAAAACUCAAAGGAAUUGACGGGGGCCCGCACAAGCGGUGGAGCAUGUGGUUUAAUUCGACACACGCGAAGAACCUUACCUGGGCUAGAACCGGCAAGAAUCCUGCGGAAACGUGGGAGUGCUCGCAAGAGAGCUUGUCGCGAGGUGCUGCAUGGCUGACGUCAGCUCGUGUCGUGAGAUGUUGGGUUAAGUCCCGCAACGAGCGCAACCCCUAUCAUCUAGUUGCCAGCGGUUCGGCCGGGCACUCUAGUGAGACUGCCGAUAUUAAAUCGGAGGAAGGUGGGGACGACGUCAAGUCAUCAUGGCCCUUAUGUCCAGGGCUACACACGUGCUACAAUGGUAGGUACAAUGAGUCGCAAGCGCGCGAGCGUAAGCCAAUCCCAAAAAAACCUACCUCAGUACAGAUAAGAGUCUGCAACUCGACUCUUUGGAGUCGGAAUCGCUAGUAAUCGCUGAUCAGCAGGCAGCGGUGAAUACGUUCCCGGGCCUUGUACACACCGCCCGUCACACCAUGGGAGUCGUCUGCUCCAGAAGUGGCUGUGCCAACCCGCAAGGGAGGCAGGUCCCCAAGGAGUGCACGGUAACUGGGGUGAAGUCGUAACAAGGUAGCCGUAGGGGGAACCUGUGGCUG